GAUGAAGAACGUAGCGAAAUGCGAUACGUAAUGUGAAUUGCAGAAUUCAGUGAAUCAUCGAAUCUUUGAACGCAUAUUGCGCUCUCUGGUAUUCCGGAGAGCAUGCUUGUUUGAGUAUCAGUAAACACCUCAACUUCCAUAUCUUUUUUGAAAUGGGAGUUGGACUUGAGUGAUCCCAACGCUUUUCCUCACCGAAAAGUGGCGGGUUACUUGAAAUGCAGGUGCAGCUGGACUUUUCUCUGAGCUAUAAGCAUAUCUAUUUAGUCUGCCUAAAAACAGAUUAUUACCUUUGCUGCAGCUAACAUAAAGGAGAUUAGUUCUUGUGCUGACUGAUGCAGGAUACACAAAGACAGGCUUCGGCCGACUUUGUAAACUCGAUCUCAAAUCAAGUAAGACUACCCGCUGAACUUAAGCAUAUCAUAAGCGGAGGA
rnacentral:misc_RNA from 1 species